UUAGGAAAGAAAGCUCAAGCUCUGACCUCUCCACUUCUCCACUCAUAUAUUCUUAAAGAAGAUUAUGAAUCUAUCCUCCUUGAGAGAAAUAGCAAUGGAUUUCUGUGGAUUUUUGGAGAUUUCGAAGAGCAAAUGUAUGCAGGAAGAGGAGAGCAGAUGCAGGAAGCUGAAGAAGAGGAAGAGUUGAUAGGCCUAACUUGAUGAGUGUAUAGGCAAGUCUGAUGCUUGGCUUUGGUAUUCAUCUUGAAUCCUUUCCUUUCUUGCAGUUCUUUAGGUGCUUUGGUUCUCCCUCUUUCUGAAAUGUAAGACGAACCUUUACUUUGGUUCAUAAAAUAAUGAAAUCCUAAGAGAAUCAUAUCCUUGUGUUCUUA